UAUAAAGGUUAUAACAUUAUUGUUCCUUUUUGUCUUUUGAAUUAGAAAAUUUUCGACUUGUUUUACUGAUACAUCUUAUAUCAGCGUAUAUGAGAGAAAACAGUAUCAGCCAAAAUUGGAGCCUUUUUUUCGAAAUCAUUACGAAUAUAUUGACACUUUUGAUUGAAGGUUAUAUGUGUAAAAUAUUGAUAAUGGAUUAUUUUACUACUUAUAAAUGAAUGAAAAAGUUGAAUUGUUUAUGGAAUAUUCAUAAACUUACAAAUACAAGAGCAGCAAGAAAACAAAUUUAAAGGAAACAUAGUUAAUGUAACAUUCAUCCUAAUUUUGGAUGUAAUAUAGCAGUAUUUUUUUGUUGUUAUCAUCCUUAAUAGAGGACUAAACGCAACACCUUGGCAUAUGGGAGUAUUCGUUGAUGUUGCAGAAAAAAUAUAUACAUUUUUGUAGGAACUUUGAUCUAAUUUCUGAAAGAGUUAUCAUUAUUUUUUCAUUCUUUUUCUAUUUCUUUUUUUUUGUUCUUAUAUCUUUGCAAUUUGUUAGAAGUAAAGUA